rnacentral:rRNA from 1 species
UACGAAGGAUGCAAGCGUUAUCCGGAUUCAUUGGGUUUAAAGGGAGCGUAGGUGGCCUUAUAAGUCAGUGGUGAAAUCUCGCAGCUCAACUCCGGAACUGCCAUUGAUACUGCUUAACUUGAAUCAACUUGAGGUGGAUGGAAUAUUACAUGUAGCGGUGAAAUGCUUAGAUAUGUAAUAGAACACCGAUUGCGAAGGCAGUUCACUAAGGUUGUAUUGACACUGAGGCACUGAAAGCGUGGGGAUCAAACAGG